GGGUUGUGAGGUUAAGCGACUAAGCGUACACGGUGGAUGCCCUGGCAGUCAGAGGCGAUGAAGGGCGUGCUAAUCUGCGAUAAGCGCCGGUAAGGUGAUAUGAACCGUUAUAACCGGCGAUUUCCGAAUGGGGAAACCCAGUGUGACUCGUCACACUAUCAUUAACUGAAUCCAUAGGUUAAUGAGGCGAACCGGGGGAACUGAAACAUCUAAGUACCCCGAGGAAAAGAAAUCAACCGAGAUUCCCCCAGUAGCGGCGAGCGAACGGGGAGGAGCCCAGAGCCUGAAUCAGCAUGUGUGUUAGUGGAAGCGUCUGGAAAGGCGCGCGAUACAGGGUGACAGCCCCGUACACAAAAGCGCAUGUGCUGUGAGCUCGAUGAGUAGGGCGGGACACGUGGUAUCCUGUCUGAAUAUGGGGGGACCAUCCUCCAAGGCUAAAUACUCCUGACUGACCGAUAGUGAACCAGUACCGUGAGGGAAAGGCGAAAAGAACCCCGGCGAGGGGAGUGAAAAAGAACCUGAAACCGUGUACGUACAAGCAGUGGGAGCACCCUUUGGGGUGUGACUGCGUACCUUUUGUAUAAUGGGUCAGCGACUUAUAUUCUGUAGCAAGGUUAACCGAAUAGGGGAGCCGGAGGGAAACCGAGUCUUAAUUGGGCGUUAAGUUGCAGGGUAUAGACCCGAAACCCGGUGAUCUAGCCAUGGGCAGGUUGAAGGUUGGGUAACACUAACUGGAGGACCGAACCGACUAAUGUUGAAAAAUUAGCGGAUGACCUGUGGCU
rnacentral:rRNA from 1 species